CAGCCGCCGCGGGAAUACGAAGGGGGCUAGCGUUGCUCGGAAUGACUGGGCGUAAAGGGCGCGUAGGCGGCGGCCAAAGUCAGGCGUGAAAUUCCCGGGCUCAACCUGGGGGCUGCGUUUGAUACUUGGUUGCUUGAGUGGGGAAGAGGGUCGUGGAAUUCCCAGUGUAGAGGUGAAAUUCGUAGAUAUUCGGAAGAACACCAGUGGCGAAGGCGACAUACUGGUCCAUUACUGACGCUGAGGCUCGAAAGCGUGGGGAGCAAACAGGAUUAGAUACCCCUGUAGUCCCUGUCUCUUAUAC
rnacentral:rRNA from 1 species